UGAGCUGGCUAGACGACCGCUGUCUACACUGUGUAGAUGGAGGAAAGUCCGGGCUCCACAGGGCAGAGUGCCAGGUAACACCUGGGGGGCGAGAGCCUACGGAAAGUGCAGCAGAAAGGAUACCGCCCAGCCUCGGCUGGGUAAGGGUGAAAAGGUGCGGUAAGAGCGCACCGCGCGGCUGGCAACAGGCGCGGCGAUGGUAAACCCCACUCGGAGCAAGACCAAAUAGGAACCCGCGCGCUGUGGCCCGCAGUGGGUUCGGGUAGGUCGCUACAGGCAGGUGGUGACGCCGGUCGCAGAUGAAUGGUCGUCCACGACAGAACCCGGCUUAUCGGCCAGCUUUUUUU
rnacentral:RNase_P_RNA from 1 species